GCACACUUUUGGCAGGGUUACACUGGAUUAUUUCGGUCGCUUGACUCUCUCGAGGUCAGGCUGGGACCCAUUUUCUCUACAGCUGAGCAGGAUAUGGUGCAGCGUGACCACAAACUUUUUGCCACAAGUACUGUCACAACACUUCUCUCAUUCUUAACUUUCUAGCUCUGCUUGUUGCUUCCUUCAACGAAGAGAGGGGAGAAUGCUCCAAAGGAGAUUCAAACUCUUCGAAACAAGCAUGAACUGGUUCCUUUCACCCGCAGGGUUGAAUAGCAAAGGUGACAGUUUUGGACUUUCCUUCAGGUUUCCUUUAAGUGUUCCUAUUUAAAAAUACAUAUUGCAAUGGGACGACCAAUAUGGAAGAUUGUGCACUUUUGUCAAAUGGAACCAAAUAUGGAAUACAUGUCAAAACGGAAAUGCAGGCACCAGCAGGACAGCAACAGAUGCUCCUUUUGUCAUAAGAAGACUUGAAAGGCAUGUAUACCUGCGACAGAUGCCAAAUGCUGACAAAAGACUUAACUACGUUCUCUUUCAUGGUCCUUUACUCAUGACUGCAGGAUUUGUCACACAUCUCCAAAUUUAUCUUGCAAAUCUAGUGUGGCUGAUUCCGAUGAUCACUCUUAGACAAAGGCUAAAGUGGGCAGGCGAAUAGGAGGGCAUAGCCGAAUCUGCUCAGUGUUGGCAGGGGCUCAGGCUCCAGCUCUUGUGCAAGAAGGGUUUGCACACCUCUCUCUCUCUCUCUCUGCCUUUCCCUUGUCUUGUGAGCGACUGAGACGUGGAAAUGGUGUCUUCGCCCUUUCUUCCCUGCUGUUUUUUUUUUGUUUUUUUUGGUCGUUGUUUCAAUACUUCCUCUUUAAGCUUCAUCCGGAGUCUCCUGCAGUGUAUGAAAAUGCUCUCGCUCAGUAUUUUGCCUUUUUAGGUUCUUGUGCAGACUUGGCGUAACCAAGAAUUCAAAAAUCCACAGCAUGUGUGUGGCUGUCCCUAAAACUGAGAGACAGGCUAACCAGCGGUCAACAACGGUGCUGACCAUCAGGACUUGAAAUAACGUUUCCAGCUACUUGUUUAAAACUACUCCGUUCUGAAGCUGAUUCAUUAGCAAGGUUGUUCUCUAUGGAUUGUUUGUUUUCCUAAAUGAAAUGAAACAAAAGAUCUGUGUGUGUCCACAAGGUGAGGUAGUAGGUUGUAUAGUUUGUGGGAAGGAUCAAAUCCUAAUCAGUUGAUAACUAUACAGUCUAUUGCCUUCCUUGAGAGACACAAUGAGCAAGGGGGAAGAGAAAGAGUUGUCAAAAUUAGUAAUAAAAGUUGAACUAUUGUAUUGAAAUAACGUAAAAAUGGCAUUAAAUGUGUUUUUUCUGCAUUGGCUUUUCCAAAUAA